rnacentral:rRNA from 1 species
UACGAAGGGUGCAAGCGUUACUCGGAAUUACUGGGCGUAAAGCGUGCGUAGGCGGUUUGUUAAGUCCGCUGUGAAAGCCCUGGGCUCAACCUGGGAACUGCAUUUGUGACUGCAUAGCUAGAGUUUGGCAGAGGGGGGGUAGAAUUCCACGUGUAGCAGUGAAAUGCGUAGAUAUCAAGAGGAACACCUGCGGCGAAGGCGGGUUGCUGGGCCGACACUGACGCUGGGCGGCG